GUAUUGAUUGCAUGUGAUCGCAAAAAGUAAGACGUUCUACACAUGCAUUCAAAGGGUGUCUAUGUAAAAACGCAGGUCCCCCUCGGAACAAGCCAAAAGGGGACCCACGCGGCAAUGCACAAAGGGGUGAGAUGGAUAUGAGAGAGUGCUCCGGGCGUGCACGACCUUUUUCAAAGGUCAGCGACAGCCCCAGCACCUCCAUUUUAUACGAUAAUGAUCCUUCCGCAGGUUCACCUACGGAAA
rnacentral:misc_RNA from 1 species